rnacentral:ncRNA from 2 species
GUUCAUCUUCAGGGCAGGGUGUGAUUCCCGACCGGCGGUAAUAGCCCGCGACCUAUGCAAUGCAUAGUGAUUUGGUGUAAUUCCAAAGUCGACAGUUAAAGUCUGGUAUAAAGAAGAUCGAG